GAACUCAGGGAGGCCUAGAAUGAGCUGAAUAAUAGAUGGU
rnacentral:tRNA from 1 species